GAUGAACGCUAGCGGCAGGCUUAACACAUGCAAGUCGAGGGGCAGCAUAGAUUGCUUGCAAUCUGAUGGCGACCGGCGCACGGGUGCGUAACGCGUAUGAAACCUACCUAAUACAGAGGGAUAGCCCAGAGAAAUUUGGAUUAAUACCUCAUGGUACUGUGGUCUCGCAUGAGACUAUAGUUAAAGAUUUAUCGGUAUUAGAUGGUCAUGCGUUCUAUUAGUUAGUUGGUAAGGUAACGGCUUACCAAGACCUCGAUAGAUAGGGGCCCUGAGAGGGGGAUCCCCCCACACUGGUACUGAGACACGGACCAG
rnacentral:rRNA from 1 species